ensembl:lncRNA
UGCUGGGCUGCAUUAAAAAAAGGGAGGCCAGCAGGGAGAGGGAGGGGAUUGUCCUCCUCUCCUCAGCUCUUGUGAGGCCCCAUCUGGAGCACUGCGUCCAGACCGGGGCCCCCAGCACAGGAAGGACGUGGAGCUCUUGGAGCGAGAGCAGAAGAGAGCCACUAAGAUGGUCGGAGGGCUGGAGCAGCGCUCCUAUGAGGAAAGGUUGAGGGAAGUGGGCUUGUUCAGCUUGGAGACAAGAAGGCUCCGGGGAGACCUAAACCAACACCGAAUCCUUACCCAAACCCAAACCCCAACACAAAACCAACACCUAAGCCAAACCCCAACCGUAAACCAACACCUAACCCAAACCCUAACCCGAACCCAACAUCUAUACCAACACCUAAUCCUAGACCUAACCCAACACCUAACCCUAACCCAUCCCCUAACGCAAUCCAUAGCCCUAAGCCUAAGCCUAACCCUAAGCCAAGCCCUAGCCCUAGCCAUAACCCUAACUCCAGCCCUAACCCCAAUGAUAAACUUAAUGAUAAUCCUAACCCUAACACAAACCCUUCUUUCCGGAGCUGGGGAAACCGACUCCAGAAAUCCCAUCUGCAGGAAGAGACGUCCUGGCAGAUAGAACAAACCAGGUGUGAGCACUGUCUUUCCAAAGUUACGCUGAAGCCGUUGGAGGAAAGGUCGGACCUCAGGCCUUCCCGCGGCACCAACUACUGACGGCGGAUUUGCUCACAGAUCCUUCACAGCUGUUUCAAAGAACCAUUCUGUGAUUCUAUGAUCUUCCAGGACCGUUCCAAGCCACACCAUCCUGUGGUUCUAUCAUCUUCCAGGACUCUUGCAACACAAACCAUUCUAUGGUUCUGUGAUCACUAAGGAACCUCCCAAGCCACGCCGUCCUGCAGUUCUAUGAUCUUCCAGGACCCUUCCAACACGGACCAUCCUAUGGUUCUAUGAUCUUCCAGGACCCUCCUGUGCGGGUGAUAUCACCAUGACGUGAUGACCUCACAGAUGCCCUGGGGUGGGGCAGGGGCAGUGGGUCAGCGCGGAACCUGCUGGCCCCAUUCUGCGGGUGGUGCUGGUCC